GCUGCACAGGCAACUGCAGAAGCAAGAGCCUUUUGAUGGCUGCCCACACAUGGAGGGCAGCAGGACUUGUUUCAAAGAAAAACCACAUCAUAAAACUGAGGCAUGGACCAGAGAACAUCAGGGCUAGAUACCGCAGAGGGCUCGGAGCUGGGCUUCGUCCUGGGGCUAACAAGGCCUGGCCUAAGGAGGCCACUGGGAGCUACAGGGUCUGCAGGGCCUCUCACUGGCCUGGAGGAGGCGCUGAAGAAUCUCCAAACAUCCAUUUGCAUGUCCAAAGAGACUUAGGCACCUCACCAUCCUGAGGCUUCUCUAAAGGGCGGGAGCCUCUCACACCUACCAAGGCUGCUCUCAGAGUUAAAUAAGGUAAUGCACGUGAAGCUCUCAGCUCGGGGCCUGGCGCCCAGAAUCGGCUGCUAAAAUGAAAGCUCCCUGAAGGCAGGGCACCAUCUGCUCUGACUCCCCAGUGCCUGGCACCCUACCUGGCACACGGUGCCUCAUUAUUCCUGGGCAGAUGUGCCAUGACAUUGAGAGCAGGCCAAGUGCGGGGGGAUUCAGCAGUCUGGUCUCUGACUCCAGGGAGAUGUAGGGGACUGUGCAUCUCUGCGACACGGGGGCUGUGGCCCCAAUGGGAGGCUGCCCAGGGAACAGCUGCCCCCCAGGGUUAAAAGCAAUGAGGUUGGCCUGUUGGGGGUUCACUGCCAGCUCAGUCCAAGAGGCCAAGCUGGAGUGGGAGCUUAACUUCUAGCCACAUCACUGGUUUGUAUCAAGCCCCCUAGCCUCCACCUCGAGCAGCUCAGAAAUACUUUGUAGGGAG
rnacentral:lncRNA from 1 species